GGGCCUGUAGCUCAGUUGGUUAGAGCACU
rnacentral:tRNA from 3 species